UGCCAGCAGCCGCGGUAAUACGGAGGGUGCGAGCGUUAAUCGGAAUCACUGGGCGUAAAGCGCGCGUAGGUGGUUAUUUAAGUUGGCUGUGAAAGCCCCGGGCUCAACCUGGGAGGGUCAGCCAAAACUGAGUAACUAGAGGACAGUAGAGGAAAGCGGAACUCAUAGUGUAGCGGUGAAAUGCGUAGAUAUUAUGAGGAACACCAGUUGCGAAGGCGGCUUUCUGGCCUGAUCCUGACACUGAGGCGCGAAAGCGUGGGGAGCGAACGGGAUUAGAUA
rnacentral:rRNA from 1 species